rnacentral:rRNA from 1 species
GACGAACGCUGGCGGCGUGCUUAACACAUGCAAGUCGAGCGGUAAGGCCCUUUCGGGGGUACGACGAGCGGCGAACGGGUGAGUAACACGUGGGUGACCUGCCCUUAGCUCUGGGAUAAGCCUGGGAAACUGGGUCGUAAUACCGGAUAUGACUCCAUAACGCAUGUUGUGGGGUGGAAAGCCUUGUGCGGCUAGGGAUGGGCCCGCGGCCUAUCAGCUUGUUGGUGGGGUGAUGGCCACCAAGGCGACGA